GGAGAGGUGACAGAGUGGUCGAAUGUGACGGUCUCGAAAACCGUUGUGCGCCUAAAUCGCACCGUGGGUCCGAAUCCCACCCUCUCCG
rnacentral:tRNA from 1 species